rnacentral:lncRNA from 1 species
GUUAGUGUUGAAGAAGAUAAGUUCAUUUGUGAGUGCCUUAAUUUUGAACACUCUGAUUUGCUGUGCAGCGACACACUGAAGGUAUUACUAAUGCUACAUUGUACUUACAUUACUUGCUCUGUUAAGCAUGAGAGUUAAUGAUACUUGUGUGUAGUUAUAAUUUUUCUAGGUUGAUGCACACCUCUUUACGUUGAGCUACCUGUAACUUGCAGGCAAACACACUGCACUAGAUGUUUGCUUGCUCCUUCUACUCCUAAUUGCUGCACCAUUAAAGGUCACUGCAUCUGAUAUUGAUCAAUUAACAUCAUGCAUGUACUUUCACACGCCUGUGAUGGCAAGAAGGCAUCAGAUGUCUUAGUAUGUUUAUUGCUCCAUGGUGUUGGGAUUAUCUAAUUUUGCUGCACUUACACAUUUUUUGGUUCUGUUGAUCUUAGGUAACUCAGGCUUAAAGUUUCAAAAGCUAGACUGUAGGCGCAUACAUGUGGAUUCAAUCUUUUUUUCUUAAGAGCAACUCCAACGCAGUGACUCAAAUCGUGUCCGUAUGGGUCGGCCGAGCGGACGGAUUUGCCUAUUUUUUCAUUUGGGUCAUCCAGUGCACCCAACGGUAGCUGACACAUUUUGUGACGCGUCUGCCCUGACAUUUUGUCAAACACGUAGCAGGCAGGGGAGCUCGCGGCAGCUUGGCGUGGCGAGGCGAGGCUGGGAUGGGCGUGUGAGUAGUGAGGCGGCCAGGCACGAGGAGGCGAGGCGACCGGGCGCACGAGGCUGCUGGGCACGGCGAGGCGAGGCCGGGCCGGACGCGCGAGCACCUAGCAGGCGUGGCCGCCGCCUGCGUCGACCAGGAGCACACACCCGCGGAGAAAUGCCGUGGCCUGGCGCUGCCCGUCGCGGAGCUCGCGAGGGACUCCUUUGUCAUGGGCGGACGCUGCCUGUCACGACGCUCGUGAGGUCCAGCUUGGGAUGCAUGGAGUCCAGAGCGCGGCAGAACUGCACGGCGGCUGUCGAGGUGGGCGAGCACGGCGGUGGCAGCUGCAGCAGCUGCUGCUGCUCAUAAGUCCGCUGUGGUGACUGUGUCUGCUGUUGUUCCUGCUUGCGCGGCAGCGGUGACUGCUGAUGUUGCUCAUGCGUCUGUUGUUCCUGAGUGCGCGGGGGCGCGGAGGUGAUGGCGUUGCGGCGGCGGUGACUGCAUUGGGCAAAUAUUUUCGUCUGCGCAGACACAAACAGACAAAAUGGGUCGGUGCAUUGCAGUUGCUCUAACUCUGAAAUUUUCAUUCAUUUGCUUUUAGGAUGUAGGAUGGAGCAUAGUUUGUGCUAUUGAAGAUGCUUUAUACUCCCUCCGUUCUUAAAUAUAAGCCUUUAGUUUGUGAUGUUGAAGAUGCUUUGUACUCCUUCCAUUCCUAAAUAUAUACUACCAUUUUAGAGAUUUCAAUAUAGAGUAUAUGUGGAGCAAAAUUUGUCUAUAUCCAUCCGUAUGUAGUCCGUAUUGAAAUAUCUAAAAAGGCUUAUUUUUAGAAAUGGAGGGAAUAACAAAAAAGAUCACAUAUAACAUAAAUUGAUUGAUCAUAAAUUAUUAUUUUUUCUCCUAGGUGGGAUUGGUAGCAAAGCUGUUCUGUUGGACUAUGCAGUUCAUUGGCCAUGGAGUUUUUGCGGCAAGUCUCUAUCAAGCUAUUAACGUUAGGUUAAGCACUAUCUGAAGUAAAUUUCUGCCCAAAUAUUAUACUUGACACUUACUCUGACUGUAGAACCGGACACGUGCUCUACUUCAUAGCAUUCUGGUUUUCAUGCAAUGUGCAAAAGCUGAUUAAUGCUAAACGCAGGAGUGGGUGGAUAAGAAAGCAAAUAUAAUGUCUUGAGAAGUGACCAAAAACUCAUGAUGCUAUGUUUGUUGUGUUGUGUAACAGUGUAAGAUGAGAAUGAUUCACCCUGUUUGCUAUCUCUGUGUUACUUCAGAUAAACUAAACCGCAGACUAAUAUCACCCUGAGAUGUGAGCAUGAAAUCCCGAUGCUAUGUUUGUUGUGUAACAACAUUAUUAAGAUGAGACCCGUCUUGUGUGUUAUCGCAUUUGUGUUGGUGAAGAUAGAGUGAACUGUAGAGUAAUAUUAUAUUUUAUGAUAAAUAUGUUUACUUGUAGAUUUAUCUUCUACAUGCAAUACACACUCUUGUACGUCGUUCACAAACAUACACAUCAUGUGUAUAUUCUGGAUG